UGUUUACUACAGUGAUCUUGUUUGAUAUUACUAUCGGCUUCUAUCUAUCACUGGAGGAGUUUUUACUGACAAUAUCAAUUAUCAACUAAUAGAUCUUUUGCAUGAUAAAUGUAUUUAACUUAUAUUGUUCAAAUCUUGAUGCAGGGGCAAAAGAAAUCCUGCAGAGCAUCUCUGGAAAGCAGGGCAAAAAAAUGGAUACCCUUGAUUCUGCUAAAGAUAUACCAAAAUUUGUUGAAUUUUUUAAGCUUCAACAAACCUAAAGUAAUAUGAAGAAGAUCACUACUUCAACCGUUAUUGGAAGAAAAAGGAAACAACAUUUUGACAGCAUAGGACUGGCCCUGAUCACACCGGAAAAGCCAUGAGAGUACUUUUAGAGCACACAUAUGAGCUGUCUGAAUGAAGAACAAAAAAACAAUCAAAAGCAUGGAAUCUAUCAUGAUGCAAAGGUAAGU